rnacentral:rRNA from 1 species
AUUGAACGCUGGCGGAAUGCUUUACACAUGCAAGUCGAACGGCAGCACGGACUUCGGUCUGGUGGCGAGUGGCGAACGGGUGAGUAAUAUAUCGGAACGUAUCCAAUAAUGGGGGAUAACUAAUCGAAAGGUUGGCUAAUACCGCAUACGUCCUACGGGAGAAAGCUAGGGACCUUCGGGCCUGGCGUUAAUGGAGCGGCCGAUAUCGGAUUAGCUAGUUGGUGAGGUAAAGGCUCACCAAGGCGACGAUCCGUAGCUGGUCUGAGAGGACGACCAGCCACACUGGAACUGGGACACGGUCCAGACUCCUACGGGAGGCAGCAGUGGGGAAUUUUGGACAAUGGGCGAAAGCCUGAUCCAGCCAUUCCGCGUGAGUGAAGAAGGCCUUCGGGUUGUAAAGCUCUUUCGCAAGAGAAGAAAACUUACCCUCUAACAUAGGGUGAGGUUGACUUAAUACGUUGGACUCAUGACGGUACCGUAAGAAUAAGCACCGGCUAACUA